AUGAAAUCGUGCCUUUCUGUGGACUUGUUUCCCCAGCUCCUCUUCAAGUGCUGCAGCCAGACACUCCCCAGCACGAGGGAGAGGAGAGAGGUGCAAGGUGGAUGGUAGACACUGUCAGGGGACAAUCCUUUUACAGCUGAGGAAUUUAAGCGUUUGAACUGAGGGUGCAGGUUACAAAUCUUCCUCAAAAUAAAACCAGCAAACAUUUGGGACCAUGUGUGUGCAAAGAACAGGUCGUGGGUAACACGCAGGAGUCGAGUGUGUUGUCUCUGUGAAGGAAGGAGACUUCUGUUCUAACUCUCCGAAGUAUCCACAGGUCUGUGGAAGGACUACUACCCUUGAUUAAUACCUGGGCUUCUUGCCAAUCUAAAUGCUGGUGUGUUUGCUGUGACUUCAGAUUUGCUGAUUAAGCUUAAUUUCCAAUUGACAGUUCAGAAGAGACGAACUGACUCGUGACUGCGGAAAAACUGCCAUUGACAGUACUACAGGAUCCUUGUUUGGGUUGUCUUCUGCUUUCUUGACCACUCAGC